CAGAUCGAUCUCCGCCGCCGCCCGAUCGCACGCCCGAACCACCCCUACCCCAUCGGCCCCGUCGGAUCUCGCAGCUGGCGGACGACUCGAGAAGACCCCACCGGAUCUCGCCCUCGUCGUCAGUUCUGGAUCGUCGCCGCCGCCGAUCCCCUUCGGAAAACAACGCCGAUCCCCUGCUCGCCCACGCACGCUGCCGCGGAUGGAGGCCGCCUGCUCGCGAUCACCAAACCUGCUGGCGCCGCGCUCCGUAGGAUCCAAGUACGCCCCUCUCCGUGGUGUUCACUGAUUGCUUGGAGCAACAACGUACUGUUGGAGUUGCCGAAGCAUUAGGUGAUUCGAUUGUGUGCGUUUGCUGGAUUUGUUUGACGAAGGAAAGAUGACGAUGAAGGACACACAAAGGAGUGUGAGCGGUGAUGGUACCAAGGUUACCGGCAGGUAUGCAUGCAGGAACUGACUGUACAGUGUUCCUAUAAUGCUACUGGUUUUAACGUCUGUACUGUGAUGCUACUGGCAGUUUAAAUAAAUCUGCUAUCAUUUGGGAUGUGAGUUGUCACAACUCGCUGUGCUCUGGUGUUCAGCUCAGAAUUUCUUUUGGGAAUGAUUCCUCUGAAUAGACUACUUAUGCUUGACAUUUUACUUUUGUUAUUUCUAUUUGUAACUCAAUUUCGGUAUCCUCUCAAAUUGACAAUACUUUUUCUGGACAUGGUAGUUGAGAAUAGUUAUGGUAUAUAGCGGAGUUAGCCCAUCCUCACCAAUGACUCUUCCUCAGGGAUUUGCUGAACUAGAGUUAGUAAUGGGGGUAUUGCAGACUGUUUAGAAUUAUGGGGGUAUUGCAGACUUUAGAAACUGAAUUAAAUUUUUGUGCAAUUGAAAAAGGUGUAUACAACUUGAAUUUAUUAGGUAUUAUAGGAGAGAUAUGAAAUUUUAAAAUUGUUAGCCAGAUUUGUGUGUUGUUUUGGGUAGUAUUCAGUUUUGUUCCAUCUUAGAGGCCAAUAAUGCACAUGUGAUAUUAUCUACAUAAUUCAGUUUAUACGGCUUCCCAUAUUCCAAUGGUUGUAUUUUGCUAAAUUGCCAUCUACUUACUGGAAUUCUCACAAAUAGAAGUGCAGUCAGAAGGUAAAAAGGAUGGUAUGGUAUGUCUCCAUUCACAUGGUACUGAACUGUUAGUGAUUCUUUGUGUUAUUCUGCAGACUUGAACUUAGUUUCUAUGGUUUUCUUUUUUGUUCAUAGACGAGAGUAUAGUCUGAAGGGAAAAAUUGGUAUGCUCUGAAGGGUGUGCAAGAACAGUGAGAUUUAUAUUACUGAAUGUAUUGUUAACAAUUUGUUAUUUUGCAGACUUGCUCUCAGUUUUUAUUCUUGGCAGGUGAUUCUUCAUGAUAGUUUUUUGUAGAGGAACAUUUUUGGUAAGCGUAUUGUAAUAUUGACUCCCACCUUUUUAUUUACAUGUAAAGAUGACCAAUUGGUAAUUUUAAAAUUUAAAUGUAAAUUUAACUUAUUUUGUGAAAUAACAUCAUGUCGUUCAGAUAAUUUGAUUUCCCUCUAUGAUAUUCUUUGGCUUUAGUAUAUCUCAGGACAAAGUUGUCAGAAGUUCUAUGGUUCAUAACCAAAACAUAAUCUCCUUUUUGUUAUUUGAUUUGCAUCAUGAUGUGUGCCCAUAUGUUCCCCUGUUGCUUAAAAAAAUCAACUUCCGGUGCAACACACGUGCAUAUACCUAUCAUGACAAAUAAACCUCACGAUGAAAGCAUUUAUGUACCUAUUUAAUUUGUGAUGGCAGCGAUGGGGCCUGGAACGGUGAUCGGUGGUGCUGGUGUCGGCAGUGCGGUACAAGGUCAGGAUGCGGGAUGGGACGGCCAUUCGUGUGAGGCAGUCGGCGGCGAGGGUUUGUGGCAUCACGAGGAGCGCCCGUGGAUUCAAGGUGUUGGCCCUAGACCUCCGACGAGGGAGGAGACGAUGUUAGUAUUUCCAUAGGAAAAAACAAGAGAAGAAGAACAAGAACAACGACGGCAAUCUCGGGUUCCAGGUACGAUGGAGCCGGCGGCGAAGCGCAUGGCGCUCGCAAACAUGAUAGUGGAUGGCGACGAUACCCUCAACUGCGGCAUCUGCUACCUCCCUCUCAAGCCACCAGUCUUCCAGUGUGGCGUCGGUCAUACCAUAUCCUCGCGGUGCCGCGACAAGAUGGUGGCAGCAAGGAGGUGCCGUGUGUGUGUCACAUCCGGUUGACCGGCGGCUAUCGCUGGAACAUCGCACUGGAGAGGCUAACAGAGUCCAUCCGGGUGCCGUGCGCCAACGCCGCCCACGGCUGCACUGCCACGCCGGCCUACUAUGACCACCCCGACCACCUCAAGGCAUGCCCUCACGACGCCGUGCUA